rnacentral:rRNA from 1 species
AUGCAUCGGCUGCUGGAUGGUACGCUAAUUCUGGGUGAUGUCCAAAAAUCAGUGACCUCGAUUUGUCAAACGGGUGAGCAGUGGUCACAGACAGACAUUGGAUUCUGUUGCCCAAAGAGUCAUCAUCUAUCCAGGGACAUUCACAGCCUCAAGUGCCAAGGAACACAGGCAGCUACCAUCUGGCUGCAGUGCCCAGGAACACAAAGAAACGAGCCAUUUUGCUGCAGUGCCAUGAAAUUGCAUCUCCUGAACCGAACUGAACCAAAAGACCAACACAAGACUCUCACAAGCCUCCCAGCUCCCAGGAACACAAGAAGCCAGCCAUUUUGCCGAGGUGCCAAGGAACACAAAGAAGCCAGCCAUUCUGCUGCAGUGCCAUGA